rnacentral:rRNA from 1 species
UACGUAGGGGGCAAGCGUUGUCCGGAAUCAUUGGGCGUAAAGCGUGCGCAGGCGGUUUUGUAAGUCUGUCGUGAAAGCCCCGGGCUCAACCUGGGAAUUGCGAUGGAGACUGCAAGGCUUGAAUCUGGCAGAGGGGGGUAGAAUUCCACGUGUAGCAGGUGAAAUGCGUAGAGAUGUGGAGGAACACCGAUGGCGAAGGCAGCCCCCUGGGCUAGCACUGACGCUCAGGCACGAAAGCGUGGGGAGCAAACAGG